AACGUAGGAGACAAACGUUAUCCGGAGUUACUGGGCGUAAAGGGCGUGUAGGCGGUUUGUUAAGUCUGGCGUGAAAGCUCUCGGCUAAACCGGGAGAGGUCGUUGGAUACUGGCAAACUAGAGGACGGUAGAGGCGUGUGGAAUUCCCGGUGUAGCAGUGAAAUGCGUAGAGAUCGGGAGGAACAUCUGUGGCGAAGGCGGCCAUCUGGACCAGCACUGACACUGAGGCACGAAAGCGUGGGGAGCAAACAGG
rnacentral:rRNA from 1 species